rnacentral:tRNA from 1 species
UAACUAGAAAGCGAAUAAUUGCAUUUAGUUUCGACCUAAAUCUUAGGCUCAUAGCCUUCUAGUUAU